ensembl:miRNA MIR876 microRNA 876
UGAAGUGCUGUGGAUUUCUUUGUGAAUCACCAUAUCUAAGUUAAUGUGGUGGUGGUUUACAAAGUAAUUCAUAGUGCUUCA